GAUGAACGCUGGCGGCGUGCCUAAUACAUGCAAGUCGAGCGAACGGACGAGAAGCUUGCUUCUCUGAUGUUAGCGGCGGACGGGUGAGUAACACGUGGAUAACCUACCUAUAAGACUGGGAUAACUUCGGGAAACCGGAGCUAAUACCGGAUGAUAUUUUGAACCGCAUGGUUCAAAAGUGAAAGACGGUCUUGCUGUCACUUAUAGAUGGAUCCGCGCUGCAUUAGCUAGUUGGUAAGGUAACGGCUUACCAAGGCAACGAUGCAUAGCCGACCUGAGGGGGUGAUCGGCCACACUGGAACUGAGACACGGUCCAGGCUCCUACGGGAGGCAGCAGUAGGGAAUCUUCCGCAAUGGGCGAAAGCCUGACGGAGCAACGCCGCGUGAGUGAUGAAGGUCUUCGGAUCGUAAAACUCUGUUAUUAGGGAAGAACAUAUGUGUAAGUAACUGUGCACAUCUUGACGGUACCUAAUCAGAAAGCCACGGCUAACUACGUG
rnacentral:rRNA from 1 species